CCUCCAUAGUCACUGAGCACAAAGGUCCUAACCAUGGAGUGGAGCUGGAUCAUUCUCUUCCUCACGUCAGCAACUACAGGUGUCCACUCCCAGGUACAGCUGCAGCAGUCUGGGCCUGAGCUUGUGAAGCCUGGGACCUCAGUGAAAUUGUCCUGCAGAACCUCUGAUGAUAUUACUAAAUACUAUAUUAACUGGGUGAAGCAGAGACCUGGUCAGGGCCUGGAGUGGAUUGGAGAUAUUGAUCCUGAAAAUGGUAAUACUGACUAUAAUGAGAAGUUCCAGGGCAAGGCCACACUGACUGCAGACACAUCCUCCAACACAGCCUACAUGGAGCUGAGAAGCCUGACUUCUGAGGACUUUGCGGUCUAUUACUGUGCAACACACAGUGCUGCAACCACAUCCUGA